rnacentral:miRNA from 4 species
CCAGUGGGGCUGCUGUUAUCUG